GAAGGAGACGUUUCUCGAAGGAUUGUCCAAAAGGGGACCGUGGCGGUGGUAGAAGUCGUACCUGCCAUGAGGCAAAAAAAAACAAGAAAACAUUUUUAGUGUCCAUUUUUAACGAAGAAGAGGGCCAUGUAGCAAGGGAUUUUCCUCAAGGAGGAUGCAAUGGGUUCGUUGUUUUACCCCUAAUGUCAUGAAGCUGGUUGCACCUCGAAAGGCUGUCCGAAUCUAUUCAGUGAAUUGAUGAGAGAUGUAGAGCCGCGUAAGCAAUACAUUCCGGAAGCUGUGACAUGCGAUGAAAAGGAAUUCUUUAAGGGCAUCGUCUGUGGGAAACGCUUUAACAGUUUUGAUAAAGUCGUGCUCCAAGUUACAGGAAAAGAUGUAUCUCAAUACAUAACAUCUUUCGAAGAAGCUGCGCCAACUACUACUUCAAAACAUAAAAAAUUCUGGCUGCAUAAAACCAACACGUGUUCAGAAAGCUUCAGUUGCAGGUGGCAUACUUGGUACCGGUUUUGAACAUAUUGUUAGAACAAGGUGUUGCUGGUGCGUCUCAUGCCAUGGGGCAAAAGCCAGAAGUUGUAAUUGUCGCACCCACUCGUGAAUGGGCCAUUCAAAUUUAACGGAAGUCGUGUAAAUUAUCCUACAAUUCGGUUUUCAAGUCUGAUUAUAUAUGGAGGAACUGUCGCGAGCCAUCAAAUGUCAAAUCUUCAAGCUGGGGAAUCCGUCGUGCUUUUAUGUUUUCGGCGACAUUCCCAGAUGAAGUACAAGCGCUGGCUGCGACUUACAUGGAAGACUACGUAUUCGUCACAACAGGCAUUGUCGGUGGCACCAAUCGAGAUGUUGAACAGCUGUUUUUUCAGUGCUCGAAAAGAAAUAAGAGAGUAAGCUGAUCGAAGUUUUACAAGAUCUCGGUGAUGCCAAGACUAUCGUUUUUGACAACAGCAAAAAGACGCCGGAUUUCAUCGCUGCAUUUUUCUGCCAUAACAACUUACAAUCUACCAGCAUCCAUGGUGAUCGUCUUCUGAGUCAGCGUGAGCAAGCGACUUGUGACUUAAAAAUGGUAUUAGGAAUAUUCUCGUGGCCACUAAUGUUGCUGCCUGUAGUUUAGUUAAUGUUUUAUGGGUUCUUCGUUCGUUUUUUACGUAUUUGAUGUUUGCAUUGUUUUUCCUAUAUAUUGCCGGCGUCAACGAUGUCGUAAAUUAUGACUUACCAACUGAUAUUGACGAGUGUGUUCAUCGUGUUGGUCGAACGGGCCGCGUGGGAAAUGUCUGAAAAUCAAAUAAGGUUGUUUGACGAAGAAAGAGAUGGCCCUAACGCUGGAAAGUUUGUCUGUUUGUUAACUAAGUCCAACGGUGAUGUACCGCCUUUCAUGCAAGCGAUAGUCCCAGGCGUGCGUGGAAGGGGUUACGACUUUAGCGCCCCUUCGACCCAAGGGGGUUUUGCUAGUCGAGAUAUGCGCCGAUUCGGCGAUAAACCUGGAUUUGCUGCCUUGCCCACUGAAGUUGAAGAGAGUUGGCAUUAACUCAAUGUAAUUAACCAAAAUUCGUAUCCAAGAACAUCUUGGAAUUUGCAAUGUCUGUUUGAAAAUUUGAUUACGUG